AAACUUCAAUAUUUGUAAUAUAACUUCAUUCAAACCUUUAAAAAUCUGAAAAUAAGAGCUUUGACAAAAAAAACAAUAUAAUCCCAUAAUAUUAAAAUCUGGUAUCAAAACCUUUGACAGAAAUAGCGCUAUUCUGGGCAGAUUUUCAAUAACAGCACCUGAAUAAGAUUUUGUCCAAAAAUGACUUAUAUUAAUUACUUAAAAAUGGAGAAAUCAACCCCAAAUCCUUAAUUUAAGUGCUUGACAUCAUAUAAUCCCAAAAUGAUCAAAGAAUAAAUAUCCAUUUCAUAAACCCAUUUACAAAGUUCCACUCUUUAUUCAACUUCAACAUUCAAAUAAAUAUAUUUCUUCGCUAUAUUUCUAAUUAUAACACCAAAUACAUAUUAAUAAUACCUAAUUCUAGCUAAGUUUUGAAUUGAAACAAAUUUUCCAUAAAGCCUAAGAAAAUUUAAUUCAAUAUACUUGUUCUUACCUCUCUAAAUUAAAUGAGAAAUUGAAGAAUAGAGCACCAAGCUUGGAAAUCCACUUCCUCUUCUCCUCCUCCUCCUCUUCCUUUCUUUCUUCUCUUCUCUCGGUCUUUCUCGACUUUUCC
rnacentral:lncRNA from 1 species